rnacentral:rRNA from 1 species
GCCUACGGGGGGCAGCAGUAGGGAAUAUCGCUCAAUGGGGGAAACCCUGAAGCAGCAACGCCGCGUGGAGGAUGAAGGUUUUCGGAUUGUAAACUCCUUUUGUUAGAGAAGAUAAUGACGGUAUCUAACGAAUAAGCACCGGCUAACUCCGUGCCAGCAGCCGCGGUAAUACGGAGGGUGCAAGCGUUACUCGGAAUCACUGGGCGUAAAGAGCGCGUAGGCGGGAUAGCAAGUCAGAUGUGAAAUCCUAUGGCUUAACCAUAGAACUGCAUUUGAAACUGUUAUUCUAGAGUAUGGGAGAGGUA